rnacentral:rRNA from 1 species
UACGUAGGGUGCAAGCGUUAAUCGGAAUUACUGGGCGUAAAGCGUGCGCAGGCGGUUUUGUAAGCCAGAUGUGAAAUCCCCGGGCUCAACCUGGGAACUGCAUUUGUGACUGCAUGGCUAGAGUACGGUAGAGGGGGAUGGAAUUCCGCGUGUAGCAGUGAAAUGCGUAGAUAUGCGGAGGAACACCGAUGGCGAAGGCAAUCCCCUGGACCUGUACUGACGCUCAUGCACGAAAGCGUGGGGAGCAAACAGG